AACUCCCAACCCCUGUGACAUACCACUUGUUGCCUCGGCGGAUCAGCCCGCUCCCGGUAAAACGGGACGGCCCGCCAGAGGACCCCUAAACUCUGUUUCUAUAUGUAACUUCUGAGUAAAACCAUAAAUAAAUCAAAACUUUCAACAACGGAUCUCUUGGUUCUGGCAUCGAUGAAGAACGCAGCAAAAUGCGAUAAGUAAUGUGAAUUGCAGAAUUCAGUGAAUCAUCGAAUCUUUGAACGCACAUUGCGCCCGCCAGUAUUCUGGCGGGCAUGCCUGUUCGAGCGUCAUUUCAACCCUCAAGCACAGCUUGGUGUUGGGACUCGCGUUAAUUCGCGUUCCCCAAAUUGAUUGGCGGUCACGUCGAGCUUCCAUAGCGUAGUAGUAAAACCCUCGUUACUGGUAAUCGUCGCGGCCACGCCGUUAAACCCCAACUUCUGAAUGUUGACCUCGGAUCAGGUAGGAAUACCCGCUGAACUUAAGCAUAUCAAUAAGCGGGGGAAAAGAAAA
rnacentral:rRNA from 1 species